rnacentral:piRNA from 1 species
ACAGCAUCCUGGAUGAAAGAUGGUGUUGU